CCUGACCCCAUGCCGAACUCAGCAGUGAAACGCCGUAGCGCCGAUGGUAGUGUGGGGUCUCCCCAUGUGAGAGUAGGACACUGCCA
rnacentral:rRNA from 1 species